AUGCCUGCAAAAUAGUAUUCGCUAAAAGAAGAGCAUAAACAUCAAGACCUACAAAAAUUACACUUAGCAAGAACUAAAUGCAAUACCAUCCCUCAAGCAGUAACUUCCAACAUAUUUGGAUAAACCACAACAUUCUCCAAACGAAAACAAAUUUGACAAAAAUCCCACAAGAAACAACAAACCAAACUGGAAAUUAACUAUCCUAAAGAACUGGAUAAUCG
rnacentral:misc_RNA from 1 species